rnacentral:rRNA from 1 species
AGGGUUUGAUUCUGGCUCAGGACGAACGCCUGGCGGCGCUGCUUAACACAUGCAAGUCNAGCGGGAAGCCNACAGUGGAACCUUCNGGUGAAGCAGUUGUGUGGAGAGCGGCGGACGGGUGAGUAACGCGUGAAUAAUCUGUCCUUAAGUUGAGGAUAACCUGAUGAAAGUCGGGCUAAUCCUGAAUGAUCUAUCUAAUUGGCGACACUAAGAUAGCAAAGGUGGUUUUCCAUCGCUUAGGGAGGAGUUCGCGUCGGAUUAGCUAGCUGGUGAGGUAAUGGCUUACCAGGGCGACGAUCCGUAGCUGGUCUGAGAGGACGAUCAGCCACACUGGGACUGAGACACGGCCCAGACUCCUACGGGAGGCAGCAGUGGGGAAUCUUUCGCAAUGGACGCAAGUCUGACGAAGCAACGCCGCGUGAGUGAGGAAGGCCUUUUUGGUUGUAAAGCUCUGUUGCCGGGGAAGAAAGUUAGUGUAAGGAAAUGUGCAUUAAUUGACGGUACCCGGUGAGGAAGCACUGGCUAACUACGUGCCAGCAGCCGCGGUAAUACGUAGAGUGCAAGCGUUGUCCGGAAUCAUUGGGCGUAAAGGGUACGCAGGCGGAUAUACAAGUCAAAUGUGAAAGGUGUAGGCUUAACCUACAGACUGCGUUUGAAACUGUAUAUCUUGAGAGCAGCAGAGGAAGGCGGAAUUCCUGGUGUAGUGGUGAAAUACGUAGAUAUCAGGAAGAACACCAGUGGCGAAGGCGGUCUUCUGGGCUGCAUCUGACGCUCAUGUACGAAAGCUGGGGUAGCGAACGGGAUUAGAUACCCCGGUAGUCCCAGCUGUAAACGAUGGUCACUAGGUGUUGGAGGUUCGAAUCCUUCAGUGCCGGAGUUAACGCAUUAAGUGACCCGCCUGGGGAAUACGGUCGCAAGACUGAAACUCAAAGGAAUUGACGGGGGCCCGCACAAGCGGUGGAGCAUGUGGUUUAAUUCGAUGCAACGCGAAGAACCUUACCGAGAAUUGACAUCCCGUGACUAUCUGUGAGAGCAGGGUUUAGUGUUUUACACUACACGGAGACAGGUGGUGCAUGGCUGUCGUCAGCUCGUGUCGUGAGAUGUUGGGUUAAGUCCCGCAACGAGCGCAACCCUUGUCCUUAGUUGCCAGCAAGUGAUGUUGGGGACUCUAAGGAGACUGCCGGUGAAAGUCGGAGGAAGGUGGGGAUGACGUCAAGUCCUCAUGCCCUUUAUAUCUCGGGCUACACACGUGCUACAAUGGUUGAUACAGAGGGGAGCAAAGCUGCGAAGUGGAGCAAAUCCUUGAAAAUCAAUCCCAGUUCGGAUUGCAGGCUGCAACUCGCCUGUAUGAAGUUGGAAUCGCUAGUAAUCGCAGGUCAGCAUACUGCGGUGAAUACGUUCCCGGGCCUUGUACACACCUCCCGUCAAGCCAUGGGAGUGGGGGGUACCCGAAGUCGCCGACCUAACUUCGGAUGGCGGCGCCUAAGGUAAAACCCACGACUGGGGCUAAGUCGUAACAAGGUAGCC